rnacentral:ncRNA from 1 species
GCACGUGACACGGGGUGCUGCCCACCGCGCAGCUGAGAUGACACCCGUCGAACCUGAUCCAGUUAGUACUGGCGAAGGGAAUGUCCACGAGGCUGCGC